rnacentral:rRNA from 1 species
GACGAACGCUGGCGGCGUGCUUAACACAUGCAAGUCGAACGGAGUGGCGAACGGGUGAGUAACACGUGGGUGAUAUGCCUUGCACUUAGGGAUAAGGUUGGGAAACUGGGUAUAAUAAAGGAUAGUGCAAGAGGAGCGCGGGGCCUAUCAGCUUGUUGGUGGGGUAAUGGCCUACCAAGGCGUCGAAGGGUAGCCGGCCUGAGAGGGUGUACGGCCACAUUGGGACUGAGAUCAGGCCCAGACUCCUACGGGAGGAAGCAGUGGGGAAUAUUGCACAAUGGGCGGAAGCCUGAUGCAGCGACGCCGCGUGGGGGAUGAAGGCCUUCGGGUUGUAAACUCCUUUCGACAGUGACGCGUUACCUGUAUAAGAAGCCCCGGCUAACUACGGGCCAGCAGCCGCGGUAAUUC